UACGGAAGGCAGCAGUGGGGAAUAUUGGACAAUGGGCGAAAGCCUGAUCCAGCCAUGCCGCAUGAGUGAAGAAGGCCUUCGGGUUGUAAAGCUCUUUUAGUGAGAAAGAUAAUGACGGUACUCACAGAAGAAGUCCCGGCUAACUCCGUGCCAGCAGCCGCGGUAAUACGGAGAGGGCUAGCGUUAUUCGGAAUUAUUGGGCGUAAAGAGCGCGUAGGCUGAUUAGUAAGUUAAAAGUGAAAUCCCAAAGCUUAACUUUGGAAUUUGCUUUUUAAAACUGCUAGUCUAGAGAUUGAAAGAGGAUAGAGGAAUUCCUAGUGUAGAGGUGAAAUUCGUAAAUAUUAGGAGGAACACCAGUGGCGAAGGCGUCUAUCUGGUUCAAAUCUGACGCUGAGGCGCGAAGGGCGUGGGGAGCAAACAGGGAUUAGAUACC
rnacentral:rRNA from 1 species